AUGAGGCGGGCCCGCUGCGCACCCCCGCGCUCUCCGCCCGCCCAGUGCGGCUCCGCUGCCCCGGCGGCGGGAGAGGCCUGGCUGCCGGGCCCGGGCGCUCCCCCUCGGUCGCUCUGCCGCUCAGGAAGCCACCGGCCGCGGGAAGUUUCCUCCAACCUGCGGGGCCCAAAACAAACCGGGUCAGACGCCUCCCUCGGCGCGUCCCCCCGCGUCUCCUCGGCCCCGCGGGCGGCACGGGACGCGCCCCGCUCCCCCCUUACCUUGCGCGCAGCCGCCGCCAUAGCGCCUGGAGCCCUUCCCGGUGUGGCCGCGGCGGCGGGGCCGGGGCGGGGCGGGGCCGGGGGCGGGCAGCGUGCGCACCGGCUGCCCUCGCGCAUGCGCCUUGCGCCCGGUGAGGCUGCGGCACGGGCGGGUCACGCCCCGCUCCGGGCGCGCGGGAGGGGGCGGCGGGCUAGGUCGGGAGGGGAGAGGGGAGAGGGCACAGGGGUGAGGGGACCGGGGACAGGGGACAGGGUCGGUGUUCGCCCGGAGGAGCACGGCUGGGACGUGCUAGCACGGGGCAGGUCGCUGAGGGUGGAGCUCAGAGGAGGAGCUGGGGUGACACGUUCUCAGCAGAGCUUGCAUGUGAAACUGCAGGAGUCUCCUGAACAUGCUGCUGCUUUCCCUGUGCGUGUCUGGUCGUUUCGUGAUCCAAGUUUAAUACCGCGGUGUGGUGUGAUGUGUCCUGGGGCCGGAGCAAUGCUGGCCGUGUUUGCCAUGCCUUGUUGCAGGUUGGCAGCUGGAGCAGGGGGACUCGUGGAGCAGUGGCUGCAGGGACAGGACUGAGGUGGGGACACUGCUGUGUUUUCCUUCUGUACGCCAUGGAGCAUCAUCCAAGGUCAUAUUUAUGCCUGUUUGCUAGAAACCAAGGAAAGGUCACUUGCCAAGGUCAUCUGGUGCCGAACGAGUCUCUCCAGUCCAAAUACAUUUUUAAUUCCGUCAUUCCCUGUAAAGCAAACAAGUAGGAAUUGUUGAUGUAAGAUAGAUGUUUGGGGUCAUGCCAGCACUAUAAUUACCCAGUGACAGGGUGUUAGGAAUUAGGGAUAUGGGAGAUGGCAGAAAGAGCUGGCAGCCGUGGAGGACAGGAGUGCAGCUGGGCCAGGCACUUCAGCAGUGGAUGAGGGGAAAAGCAGAGAUCAAGGUAAGGCAGUGCAGUGUAUGACACAAAGCAUGAUUGGUGUGUUCUCAGUUGUAAUACAGGAAAAUCUCAGGGGUGUCUUCAUUUUUUUCCCUUUCUUUUUGACUGCACUGUGAUUUGGGGAAUGGAGGUUGAUUUGUAACAGACUACUUUUUUUCCAACAAUCCAGUGAGAAAAUGACAGCAAAACUAGGCUGUAGCAUCUGUGUUGGAAACAAAUUAAAUCCAAGAUUAAAGUCUGAUUUUGUGAAGACAAAAACAAACAACUGAUAGGUGGAAUGUUUAGAAGUGUUUAUCUGUAGUUUUAAUUCUCCUGACAGGGAAAAAAAUCUGGCACGUCACUUCAUGGCUUUCAUCAGCUUAUGAGAUUGUACUACGCUGAUAAAUAUAAUCAUAAUUUGCUCUUACUAAUUAUUUUAAUGAGUGGAAAUUCUGUGUGGCUGUUGCUUACAGCACACAAAGUGCCAUAACUAAUCAAAGGGAGAAGGAAAGGUAUAAAAAGAUAGAGAAAGUGCGAAUAAAUUUAGGUCCAUUAGGAGUUACA
ensembl:lncRNA